rnacentral:lncRNA from 1 species
GUGUGUUUCCGCCUCAAGUGGAGAAAGGCUAAGGUUUUGGUCGUUAUAUAACAUGAAUCUUCAUCAUGUGGGGCUCCUCACUUGUUCUAAUUGGGUUUAAAAUAAUCACGGCCACAUGAUUAUUACAUCUAAGUACUAAUCCCUAUCAUAUGUUAAGUUUAAGAAACUCAAAAAAAAAAAAAGUCUAAGAAACUCAAGAUUGCGAGAUACCAAAUCAUAUAACUUUUCAAGAAACCUAGAGGUGUUAUAAAUUAGUGUAUUUUUGUAUUGUAUCCGUGAACCAUGUGGGUAAACCACUAAACCGUAAACCUAGAGAUGUAUACACACGCAUAUUCGCUCAUUCACAUAGAAACUAACAAGCAUUGGUAUUUGGGU